rnacentral:rRNA from 1 species
CAUCAUGGCCCUUACGGCCUGGGCUACACACGUGCUACAAUGGUCGGUACAAAGGGUUGCCAAGCCGCGAGGUGGAGCUAAUCCCAUAAAACCGAUCGUAGUCCGGAUCGCAGUCUGCAACUCGACUGCGUGAAGUCGGAAUCGCUAGUAAUCGUGAAUCAGAAUGUCACGGUGAAUACGUUCCCGGGCCUUGUACACACCGCCCGUCACACCAUGGGGAGUGGUGGUCUCCAGAAGUAGCUAGUCUAACCUUACGGUGGAACGGUUACCGUACCGGAGUGAUUCUAUGUACUGGGGUGGAAGUACGUAACAAGGUAGCCGUACGGGUAACGUACGCGGCGUGAGUCACCUCCGUCGACGCGGCCGACGUCGUGGGAGGCGAAGGCGACACAGGGGAGUAGG